rnacentral:misc_RNA from 1 species
GUGAAUCAUCAAAUUUUUGAACGCAAAUUGCGCCUUUUUCGGAUGGCAUGUCUGUUUGAGUGCCCGAUUCAACAAAUAAUGUGCAGCGUUUUUUGUUGCACACGUUGAUGAGCUUUCCAAGUAUUUUAAAUUUUUGUUGGCGCAUAAUGAACAGCGUGAUAUGUUUUUUCAGUUCGUCUUUAUUAAAUUCUUUACUUGGA